GCAAGGGAGGGCUUGGGGGGGUUGCCCCGGCUUUGGCCCCUCCCCCGUGGUGCCCUGCGCAGGGCUCGGUGGGUGGGUGUGCGGUGGGCACAGCCCCUGAUUUUCUCCUGCUGAGCAACUCCCAGCGACCAGGGUCAUUCCUGCUGAGACUUCCCUUGGGGACAGCGUGGGCCACCCUGCAGGCCUGAAGCUCUGGGUGAGAUGGGCCAGCCUGCACACCUGGCUGAGAGUGCCCGAGACCUGUGACCGUGUCCUGGCUGAGCCCCGGCUCAGCCUCUGGCUGGUCCAGCUGGGAUCCUCGGCAGUGACCCGAUCCCGACCCCCAGGAGAAGCCCAGCAGACCUUCGGGGAGCGAGUGAACGAGUGUGGCGUGGCCUCCCUGGAAACUUGGUUCAGGAGAAUCCAAGGAUGAAAAGCCUCCCGACUCCAGGAUGAUGAUGUAUUUCUGAAGGACAUCUCAAAGCCCCGGAAGGACCGACAGUGCUGGCACUCAGCUUCCAACAAUGACGACUUCCACCCCGACUUUUCCUGCAUUGAAUCUGCAUCUCAGAAUCUUGGGACAUGUCUGCAGAACUGAAGCCCGUGUGUCCACCUAGCCCCAUCCGCCCCAUAGGAAGCAGUCCUGACUUGACCCUUCGGAGGAGGCCCGCCCUCCCAGGAGCCCUCUGCCCACGCCUGGCUGCCCUGUGCUCCACAGGCCAUAUGUCAUCCCUCAGGGACCUCCAGGUGGGAGUAAGGUGCCCCUGAGGCUCGGUCUGGCCCUGCCCCCACCUACGGAGCCCGUACUCUGAGCCUGGGCAGGGAGCACGGAGCUGGGGCUUUGGGGCUCUGGGGGUCGCCCCGGUGGUGCUGAGGGAGUGGCUCUGGGGUCUCACUCCCCACCUCAAGCUGGGCAGCGCUGUUCUCCAAGCUCCUGGAACAAGGCGUCCUUCUCCAUAUGACACAGAGGGUUUCAUGGUUGUACAAAAUCAGCAGUUCGCAGUC